rnacentral:rRNA from 1 species
AUUGAACGCUGGCGGUAUGCUUAACACAUGCAAGUCGGACGAUGAGAAAGAGCUUGCUCUUUCGAUUAGUGGCGGACGGGUGCGUAACGCGUAGGAAUCUACCUAUUAGUGGGGGACAACUUAGGGAAACUUAAGCUAAUACCGCAUACGCCCUACGGGGGAAAGAAGGGGAUCGCAAGACCUUUUGCUAAUAGAUGAGCCUGCGUAGGAUUAGCUAGUUGGUGGGGUAAAAGCUCGCCAAGGCGACGAUCCUUAACUGGUUUGAGAGAAUGGUCAGUCACACUGGAACUGAGACACGGUCCAGACUCCUACGGGAGGCAGCAGUGGGGAAUAUUGGACAAUGGGCGAAAGCCUGAUCCAGCAAUACCGCGUGUGUUAAGAAGGCCUUAGGGUUGUAAAGCACUUUCAAUUGGAAGGAAAACCUCGAAGCUAAUACCUUCGAGUUUGACAUUACCUUUAGAAGAAGCACCGGCUAACUCCGUGCCAGCCGCCGCAGUAAUAC